GAUAAACGCUGGCGGCGUGCCUAACACAUGCAAGUCGAACGCCCUUUUGCGCAAGUGAGAGGGAGUGGCGGACGGGUGAGUACCACGUGGGUACCUACCUUGAGGUGAGGAAUACCACCGAGAAAUCGGUGACAAGACCGCAUACGCUUGGCAACAAGCAAAGUCUCGCAAGAGACGCCACAAGAUGGGCCUGCGCCUGAUUAGCUAGUUGGUGAGGUAAUGGCUCACCAAGGCGACGAUCAGUAGCUGGUCUGAGAGGAUGAUCAGCCACACUGGGAUUGAGAACGG
rnacentral:rRNA from 1 species